rnacentral:piRNA from 1 species
UGGAAGCUGGUCCCUCAGGAGCCCGGCCA